UAGAAGCAUUUUAAAUCAGUAGGUAAUGUGGUCAUAUUGCAUACUGUUCAAAGAAUGGAAACUGAAUUAAUCAAGAUUGCAACCAAACCACGUUUGCAUAAACAGUGAAUCAUAAUUUAGAUCCUGAAGUCUAAGACCCUGAAAACAUCUUCAAUUAGUUCCAGGUUUAGAAAUAAAAAUUGGAAUUCAAGGCCCAUUAAAGUUCCUGGUAGAAGACUGAGAUUCAAGAUGUGCUGCUCAGUGACGAGAGAGCCCCCCCAAACUGCCACUUGGUCCUGCCUCACCACUGGUUUUCCUCGGUGGGCGGAGGCAUCAAGGAAACUCCUGUUCAAUUGGCCAUGGCAACGCUGUGAGUCGAGAUGUGUUUAUUAUGCCGGUGCAGCCGCUCCUGAUGACAACCACGCUCACCUCCGACAGUGCUGCGGCUCCGUGUUCCUUCCCCCGGGGCCCGGAAAACCUCUUAUUCUUUUUGGUAGAAGCAGUGCAAGGUCCUAAAAUCUAGCCAUAAACAGGAAUUUGAUUUUGGAUGAGCACAGGUGGUACUUUUUUUUUGCUGUUUGAUAUUUUUUAAUUGAUUUUAUUGGGGUGAUAUUGGUUAACAAAAUUAUAUAGGUUUCAGGAAUACAAUCUAUAAUCCAUCAUCUAUACAUUGUAUUGCAUAUUUACAACCCAACAUCGGGUUUCCUUCCAUCACCAUUUAUCCCCCUUCACUCUCUUUUACCUCCUCUCACCCCCCCUUUCCCUCUGGUGAUCACCAAACCAUUAUCUAUGUCUAUAAGGCUUUGUUUUUUUGGCUUUUGUUUAAUCCCUUCAUCUUUUUCACCCAGCUCCCCAACCCCAGUUUCCUCUGACAGCUGCCAGUUUGUUCUCUGUAUCUGUGAGUCUGCUUCUAUUUUGUUUGUUUAUUUUAUUCAUUAGUUCUACUUGUCUUAGUCUGACUGGGUUACUUCACUUGGCAUACUACUAUCCAGGUUGUUUCAUGCUGUUUCAGAAGGUAAGACUUCUAGCAGCACAAUUUACAAUAGCCAAGAGUUGGAAGCAACCUAGGUGCCCAUCAGUAAAUGAAUGGAUCAAAAAAUUGUGGUACAUAUACACAAUGGAAUUCUAUGCAGCAGAGAGAAAGAAGGAGCUACUACCCUUUGCAACAACAUGGAUGGAACUGGAAAGCAUUAUGCUGAGUAAAAUAAGCCAGUUGUUGAAGGACAAAUACCAUAUGAUAUCACCUUUAACAGGAAGCUAAACAACAAAUCAAACAAACAAGCAAAAUAAAAACAAAGACGCUGAAAUAGAGAAUAGGCUGAAAGUACCAGAGGGGAGGGAAUUUCAGGGGAAAAGGGGAAGGAU